UACGGGGGGGUGCGAGCGUUGUCCGGAAUCACUGGGCGUAAAGGGCGCGUAGGUGGUUUGAUAAGGGUGUGGUGAAAGCCCGGGGCUCAACCCCCGGGUCUGCCGUGCCGACUGUCAAACUCGAGGACUGUAGAGGCAGACGGAAUUCCGGGUGUAGCGGUGGAAUGCGUAGAGAUCCGGAGGAAGACCGGUGGCGAAGGCGGCCCCCUGGUUGGAUACUGACGCUGAUACGCGAAAGCGUGGGGAGCAAACAGGG
rnacentral:rRNA from 1 species